GACUUCGUGGUGUAGCGGUCAGCACGCUCGACGCGUAUUCGAGAGGUCCGUAGUUCGAAUCCCGGCGAAGGCG
rnacentral:tRNA from 1 species